GUGCGUCUAACCGAUAAUUGUAAUAAGAAAGAAUAUGCGCUGAAAGUAAAUAAUUUAAAAGACAUCGUGUUUUAAUUUAAAAUUUAAUCAAACUGUUUUUUAUCUUUCAUUCAUUGUUUUUAUACCAUCUAUGGAAGCAGCCAUCCUUAUUUUUCCGCUCUAUGGCAAUUUGUAUUAUUCCAAAAACAAUAUCGGGUCAAACAUAUUUUCAACGUGAUUUAAAGAUUGUAGCAAGUUUAGGAGAUCACUGAACAACGUGCAUAGACAUGAUUUUAUGUUUUAAUCAAAGUGCCUACAACACAGAUAGCUUUACACAACAGGCAAUUACAUCGAAUAUUAAGUUUUUUUCACUAAUUACCACUUUUUUUUUAGAGAUUAGAGCGUCUUGUUGACACAAUAAUACAAAAAUAGUGUGGUUUUAUUUGUUGCAAUUAUUAAAUUCAUUUGUUAUGACAAAUUUUAGUACAUAUUAUGAAAAAAGUACAAUUUUCAUUUGUUGAAAAUAAGAUACCAAUUUAAGAUUAUUAAAUAAUAACUUAAUGGUCUCCACAUCAUAGACAAUUUUUCGGCGCUUCGUAAGUAAUUUCUACGUGCAUAAUGAUUUUAUCAGAAUGAAGAUAAUGAUAUUUUAAACACACACACACACACACACAUAUAUAUAGAUACGUUACAAAACAUAAAGGCAAAUUACAACCGAUAGUAUUAUGUAAUGAGGUAGCUUACAUUAUUUAUUAAUGUGAUUGCAAUUAUAUGUGAAUGACUGAUAAACGAUUUUGACAUAUAAAGAAAUUGCGUGGGAUGCAUUGAGCUAAGUAUUUUGUAAUGAUUAUUGUCAGAUUAAAUAUUUUUUUUACAAAAAAAAACUUAAAGAGACUAUUAUUAUCUUAGUAAAAUAUUUCAUAUUUAAUUAUUACAGAAUUUUGGACAUGAACUUACAUAGAAAUAUUGUUUUUAAAAAUAAAUUUAUUUAACAUAAUUAUCAUUAAGUGAGCGAAUAUAAUAUUCAUGAAUUCCGAUAAUUCUUAGAUAACAUAAAAAACAUUUGAUUAUUUUCUUUAUUAAUAUUCAGUGUUAACCGACUUAAAGGUCAAAAUUAACCUUACCUCCAUUAAAAAGCAUAAUUAUAUUACAAUUAGCCUUUAAUUAUUCAGCUGAAUAAUUUGAAAUAGUAAAAGUAUAA